rnacentral:rRNA from 1 species
UACAGAGGUCUCAAGCGUUGUUCGGAUUCAUUGGGCGUAAAGCGUGUGUAGGCGGAUCGUUAAGUGUCUUGUGAAAUCCCACGGCUCACCCGUGGAACUGCUGGGCAUACUGGCGAUCUUGGGCCAACUAGGGGCAGUCGGAACAAGCGGUGGAGCGGUGAAAUGCGUAGAUAUCGCUUGGAACGCCGAAGGUGAAAACAGACUGCUGGGGUUGCGCCGACGCUGAGACACGAAAGCCAGGGGAGCAAACGGG